CUGAUCAGCCAUGCGCGUGUGUGAAGAAGGUCUUCGGAUUGUAAAGCACUUUAAGUUGGGAGGAAGGGUGUAGAUUAAUACUCUGCAAUUUUGACGUUACCGACAGAAUAAGCACCGGCUAACUCUGUGCCAGCAGCCGCGGUAAUACAGAGGGUGCAAGCGUUAAUCGGAAUUACUGGGCGUAAAGCGCGCGUAGGUGGUUUGUUAAGUUGGAUGUGAAAUCCCCGGGCUCAACCUGGGAACUGCAUUCAAAACUGACUGACUAGAGUAUGGUAGAGGGUGGUGGAAUUUCCUGUGUAGCGGUGAAAUGCGUAGAUAUAGGAAGGAACACCAGUGGCGAAGGCGACCACCUGGACUAAUACUGACACUGAGGUGCGAAAGCGUGGGGAGCAAACAGGAUUA
rnacentral:rRNA from 1 species